rnacentral:rRNA from 1 species
GGAAUUUUGGACAAUGGGCGAAAGCCUGAUCCAGCAAUGCCGCGUGCAGGAUGAAGGCCUUCGGGUUGUAAACUGCUUUUGUACGGAACGAAAAAGCUCCUUCUAAUACAGGUGGCCCAUGACGGUAACGUACGAAUAAGCACUGGCUCACUACGUGCCAGCAGCCGCGGUAAUACGUAGGGUGCGAGCGUUAAUCGGAAUUACUGGGCGUAAAUCGUGCGCAGGCGGUUAUGUAAGACAGAUGUGAAAUCCCCGGGCUCAACCUGGGAACUGCAUUUGUGACUGCAUGGCUAGAGUACGGUAGAGGGGGAUGGAAUUCCGCGUGUAGCAGUGAAAUGCGUAGAUAUGCGGAGGAACACCGAUGGCGAAGGCAAUCCCCUGGACCUGUACUGACGCUCAUGCACGAAAGCGUGGGGAGCA